CCUACGGGCGGCAGCAGUGAGGAAUAUUGGUCAAUGGGCUUACGCCUGAACCAGCCAAGUCGCGUGAGGGAAGACUGCCCUAUGGGUUGUAAACCUCUUUUGUCAGGGAGCAACGCCGGCUACGUGUAGCCGGACUGAGAGUACCUGAAGAAAAAGCAUCGGCUAACUCCGUGCCAGCCGCCGCGGUAAUACGGAGGAUGCGAGCGUUAUCGGGAUUUAUUGGGUUUAAGGGGUGCGUAGGCGGAAUGCCAAGUCAGCGGUAAAAUCGCGGGGCUCAACCUCGCUCCGCCGUUGAAACUGGCGGUCUUGAGUGGGCGAGAAGUAUGCAGAAUGCGUGGUGUAGCGGUGAAAUGCAUAGAUAUCACGCAGAACUCCGAUUGCGAAGGCGGCUUACUGGACUGUAACUGACGUUGAGGCUCGAAAGCGUGGGGAGCAAACAGGAUUAGAUACCCCUGUAGUC
rnacentral:rRNA from 1 species